GACCGCUCAAUGACACCUGUGUGUCAAAUCACCAGGGCAGACCUCUUCAGCGGCAGCUCUUUCACGAGUUUAUCCCUGUGGUGUGUCUGCCAACCCCAUUCUGUGGCCCACUGCACAAAAGGGCUCCUUAUAAUAUCAAAUCCCUUAAGCACCCAUUCAACCUGCAGUGCCACCGACAGAUUCACAAUGUGGCCCUGUCUGAGAGACAAGUUUCUAUGGCAACACGGGCCCAGAUUGCACAGCCAGUGAUGGGAAAAUGGGAAUGACAUUUAUUCUUUUUUCUUCAUAAACAUGGGUGUGUGUUUAUUUAUUUUAGGGACCUUUUUUAGUGCUUACAGAAAAGGGCAACAGACAAAGAGGCGAUACCACUCCAUUUAAAUGAAGCUGUUGGAACGGCCUUAUCAUUAAGAGCAGUGUGAAUUGCUGUGGCAUUGUGCAUAUUGUUCACAAUGAACAGGAAGUGGCGCUGAGUUGAAUGUUCAGCUGAGGAGAUGAGAUUUUCUGCAUGGGACAAAUUAAGGACCAGGGACAAAUGAAGAGACAAAAAACAAAACAAAAUGGUCUGAACCAUUGUGAGCAACACAAGUUGUCAUACAGAGGCAGAUCCUUGCUAAGCUGUCUGCAAUUAUCAUCGCUCCCUAUUGUUUUAUCUGCUCAUUUGUAAAGCACUAGAUGCAUUAGAUAGACACCACCACAACAGAUUUACUGAAAAUAAAUAAAUCUUUAUUAAUGAUUUGCUUUAGACAUCAUCCCUCAUGCAUCCCAGAGGUGACAAAUUAGCAAAGUAAAACAUAGUGCUUCCAUAGCACAUAAACUGCAGUCAUACGUACAGGUAAUACAAAUCAAUUAGUAUUACAAAUCAUUUUAGGACUUAAGACAAACAACAAGAACAACAACAGCAAUAACAACAAUAACAACAGCACAAACAACAGUGAUGCAACAAUCCCUGUGGUCUCUCUCCCUUGCUAAGGUGAGGAGAUAACACUCUGUGUACAUCCUCCUCGUAACACUUAGCUCUAGUUUCUCCAUGUUACACCACAUUAAAAAUAAAGACCUAAAGUAGUGCUGUCUACAGAGGCAAAACUUAUUUAGGAAUGUGCUUUAGGCUAUUUUAGUUCUUUGUCCUCGUUAGGAGAGCGUGAUAUAUUACAGACAUAAAUAUAGCCGACGAGCGGAGACAAAUACGCAUGGCUAAGUAGAACCUUCAGAAGUGGCACACCUAAAAACAGUAGUUGCUAUUGGUCAAUUCAAGUUGCGAGUGAAAUGUAUUGCACAGUUAGUUCCUCACAGAGGCUGCAUUAAAAUAGGAGGGGUGGGUCUGUUUGUGCAGUAGACACUGAUCUGGAAAACCACAUGCAUAGUUUCACGUAUGCAUCCAGACAGACACACAGGCACAUUCACACACAGACGCACACGUACAGUAUAUAUCGACACUCGACAGCCGCUCUCUUCGAACUUGCUCACCUUUCGACAAACGGACAUGCACGUGGACCAACAGCACAUACUUAAGCACAUCCCGCAAAGUAUAAGGAUUUACCAUUGUACCAUCAAUACAGCCAGGUCACCACCCCCGUACCACUCCCCAAUACACACCCCCCCCCCCCCCCCCCCCCCACCCCAUCCCCUUGACCCUCCCCCAGCACCAGUCCCAGCCAACAGCGGGGGUCACAGUUCCGAUCAGAGGCAAGAAACUGUGUUUGCCAGUAGGGGUGCAUCGUACACAUACAGCAGCGUUGGUGUGUGGAAGAAGGAAGUCUGCGUCUGUGUCCCCCCGACUGAUAAGGGACGAGACCGGGGGGGUGGUGGUGCUCCGGGCUGGGGAGAUCUCUCCUCAGUGCAGGCUUCAACAGUGUUCAGCACAGAAACCUCUUCAGUAAGAGUUUGUGUUUUCCUUUUUGUUUUCUCCUCCUCUUCAGCUGCAG
ensembl:lncRNA